GGGCAUUUCAAUAGUAGUGUUGACGAUAAGAAUAAAUAAGAUGGUGAAGCAAAAGCCGAGCAAGUGGCUUAUUAUGGAGAUAGCAAAGAGGAUGAUGUUAAGAGCAAUGAAGACCUACAUUACAUGGAAAUUGAUGAAGACGAGGAUGCUGAAGAUGAGAAUAGCGAAGAGGAUGACACUGAAAAUAA